UGCAAGUCGAGCGAACAGAUAAGGAGCUUGCUCCUUUGACGUUAGCGGCGGACGGGUGAGUAACACGUGGGUAACCUACCUAUAAGACUGGGAUAACUUCGGGAAACCGGAGCUAAUACCGGAUAACAUUUGGAACCGCAUGGUUCUAAAGUGAAAGAUGGUUUUGCUAUCACUUAUAGAUGGACCCGCGCCGUAUUAGCUAGUUGGUAAGGUAACGGCUUACCAAGGCGACGAUACGUAGCCGACCUGAGAGGGUGAUCGGCCACACUGGAACUGAGACACGGUCCAGACUCCUACGGGAGGCAGCAGUAGGGAAUCUUCCGCAAUGGGCGAAAGCCUGACGGAGCAACGCCGCGUGAGUGAUGAAGGGUUUCGGCUCGUAAAACUCUGUUAUUAGGGAAGAACAAAUGUGUAAGUAACUGUGCACAUCUUGACGGUACCUAAUCAGAAAGCCACGGCUAACUACGUGCCAGCAGCCGCGGUAAUACGUAGGUGGCAAGCGUUAUCCGGAAUUAUUGGGCGUAAAGCGCGCGUAGGCGGUUUCUUAAGUCUGAUGUGAAAGCCCACGGCUCAACCGUGGAGGGUCAUUGGAAACUGGGAAACUUGAGUGCAGAAGAGGAAAGUGGAAUUCCAUGUGUAGCGGUGAAAUGCGCAGAGAUAUGGAGGAACACCAGUGGCGAAGGCGACUUUCUGGUCUGUAACUGACGCUGAUGUGCGAAAGCGUGGGGAUCAAACAGGAUUAGAUACCCUGGUAGUCCACGCCGUAAACGAUGAGUGCUAAGUGUUAGGGGGUUUCCGCCCCUUAGUGCUGCAGCUAACGCAUUAAGCACUCCGCCUGGGGAGUACGACCGCAAGGUUGAAACUCAAAGGAAUUGACGGGGACCCGCACAAGCGGUGGAGCAUGUGGUUUAAUUCGAAGCAACGCGAAGAACCUUACCAAAUCUUGACAUCCUUUGAAAACUCUAGAGAUAGAGCCUUCCCCUUCGGGGGACAAAGUGACAGGUGGUGCAUGGUUGUCGUCAGCUCGUGUCGUGAGAUGUUGGGUUAAGUCCCGCAACGAGCGCAACCCUUAAGCUUAGUUGCCAUCAUUAAGUUGGGCACUCUAGGUUGACUGCCGGUGACAAACCGGAGGAAGGUGGGGAUGACGUCAAAUCAUCAUGCCCCUUAUGAUUUGGGCUACACACGUGCUACAAUGGACAAUACAAAGGGCAGCUAAACCGCGAGGUCAUGCAAAUCCCAUAAAGUUGUUCUCAGUUCGGAUUGUAGUCUGCAACUCGACUACAUGAAGCUGGAAUCGCUAGUAAUCGUAGAUCAGCAUGCUACGGUGAAUACGUUCCCGGGUCUUGUACACACCGCCCGUCACACCACGAGAGUUUGUAACACCCGAAGCCGGUGGAGUAACCAUUUAUGGAGCU
rnacentral:rRNA from 1 species